GAGAGAGCGCAGGCCAGGGGGAUUGUCCAAAUAAAACGGCAGCGCAAGGACGCCUGAUCUGGCGCUCAUAGCUUGUGCCAGCCGCUUGUGCAAAGUUUUGCAUCUCUGGAUGAAGUGAUUCAAUUCAGGGCCUGGCGUUUGCUAUAAUACUCUGCUGAAGAGACCUUGUGGAGCCGUGAGCAAGUAGAUUGGAACCCUACAUUAGACUCUCCUACACUAUUCUUCUCCCCUUCACGUGAGCAAAUGGGCCCGGAGUCAGGUGCGCUUCUUUGCUCACAAAGGUCAGUAGAUGUAUUCUUUGUAAGUGCACUUAGUGCAUGACAAGCUCAAAUGCAUUGCAGAUCCCAAAAUUGACUUGCUGAGAAGAUGCCGAUGCAUGCAGGUGUUUCCUGCCACAGCAAGCAUGUGGACCCCGGGGCCAGACCGAGAAGAGACACUUGUUUUGGAGGUGCAUAGGCAUGCAUGCUUUGUAUUUGAAGCCAGGCCAUUUUUAGGGAAAGCGGUAUGCAGACAUCAAGGCAGAGCAAGCGCCAGAAGAUAGGAGAGGGGCUGCCUUGCAAGUGCACGUCAUGCAAGAACAAUACAACACAUUAUUGUAAUGAUUGAUUGCCCAAGUGGUCUGCAACUUGUGAAGAGUUUAAAACAGGGAGAAUGCACAGAAUUUGUACAGUGGAGUGCUGCUGCUGAAC
rnacentral:lncRNA from 1 species